GAUGAACGCUAGCUACAGGCUUAACACAUGCAAGUCGAGGGGAAACGACAUCGAAAGCUUGCUUUUGAUGGGCGUCGACCGGCGCACGGGUGAGUAACGCGUAUCCAACCUGCCCACCACUUGGGGAUAACCUUGCGAAAGUAAGACUAAUACCCAAUGAUAUCUCUAGAAGACAUCUGAAAGAGAUUAAAGAUUUAUCGGUGAUGGAUGGGGAUGCGUCUGAUUAGCUUGUUGGCGGGGUAACGGCCCACCAAGGCUACGAUCAGUAGGGGUUCUGAGAGGAAGGUCCCCCACAUUGGAACUGAGACACGGUCCAAACUCCUACGGGAGGCAGCAGUGAGGAAUAUUGGUCAAUGGACGGGAGUCUGAACCAGCCAAGUAGCGUGCAGGAUGACGGCCCUAUGGGUUGUAAACUGCUUAUAUAAGGGAAUAAAGUGAGUCUCGUGGGACUUUUUGCAUGUACCUUAUGAAUAAGGACCGGCUAAUUCCGUGCCAGCAGCCGCCGUAA
rnacentral:rRNA from 1 species